rnacentral:rRNA from 1 species
UACGGGAGGCAGCAGUGGGGAAUAUUGGGCAAUGGGCGAAAGCCUGACCCAGCAACGCCGCGUGAGGGAAGAAUGUCUUCGGAUUGUAAACCUCUGUCCUUGGGGACGAAAAGAAUGACGGUACCCAAGGAGGAAGCUCCGGCUAACUACGUGCCAGCAGCCGCGGUAAU